rnacentral:ncRNA from 1 species
ACAGUACAAACUGAACAGACUGGGAUACAUUCCUGAAGUCGGGUCAAGAACAUGACAGUGGAUGGAACAUCUGCGGGACGGU